CUUCGGAAUCGUGAAUUCUUCGGUGAUUCACUUUUCAUAGCAAGACUCCGCCUUGAAGUAAUUUCGAAUUUUGAGUAAUUCUAGUCACAUAAGGAAAUCAUUCCUAAGGCUUUCAAGGUCUCGGAAACAGUAUAUAACUCCAUCGACAAGGUUCGGAUAGACAGAGCGGCGUGCCUCCUCA